rnacentral:rRNA from 1 species
GACGAACGCUGGCGGCGUGCUUAACACAUGCAAGUCGAACGAGAAUCACUGGAAGGAGUUUUCGGACAACGGAAGGUGAGGACAGUGGCGGACGGGUGAGUAACGCGUGAGGAACCUGCCUUUCAGAGGGGGACAACAGUUGGAAACGACUGCUAAUACCGCAUGACACAUAGAGAUCGCAUGGUUUUUAUGUCAAAGAUUUAUCGCUGAAAGAUGGCCUCGCGUCUGAUUAGCUAGUUGGUGAGGUAACGGCCCACCAAGGCGACGAUCAGUAGCCGGACUGAGAGGUUGACCGGCCACAUUGGGACUGAGAUACGGCCCAGACUCCUACGGGAGGCAGCAGUGGGGAAUAUUGGGCAAUGGGCGCAAGCCUGACCCAGCAACGCCGCGUGAAGGAAGAAGGCUUUCGGGUUGUAAACUUCUUUUGUCGGGGACGAGUAGAAGACGGUACCUGGCGAAUAAGCCACGGCUAACUACGUGCCAGCAGCCGCGGUAAUACGUAGGUGGCAAGCGUUGUCCGGAUUUACUGGGUGUAAAGGGCGUGUAGCCGGGAAGGCAAGUCAGAUGUGAAAUCCACGGGCUUAACUCGUGAACUGCAUUUGAAACUACUUUUCUUGAGUAUCGGAGAGGCAAUCGGAAUUCCUAGUGUAGCGGUGAAAUGCGUAGAUAUUAGGAGGAACACCAGUGGCGAAGGCGGAUUGCUGGACGACAACUGACGGUGAGGCGCGAAGCGUGGGGAGCAAAC